CUUGUUAUCAUUCGAACUGCACUGAGAUACUCAAAGGGAUCAUCUCCCGUGUUGAAUUUAGGAGCAUCCAACUUUAAGUACUCCAUCAUCUUCACCUUACUUCCCCCUGACGAACUGGGUUGUGCUUCAACAACAGGGGCUACUGGUUCAGGUGGUGGUGGUGGAGGUAUUGUUUCUCUGGAUUCAGGCGACACUGAACUUGGAUGAACAGGUG
rnacentral:lncRNA from 1 species